AAAAAAUAUUUCCUCACUGAGAAAUAUAUUUAAUAUGUUUUUAUGCAUUUUCAGAUUCCUAUUGUUCCAGUUGUUUUUUCACCAUACACUAAUUUCUACAAUAUUAAUAAAAAAAUAUUUGACAGAGCACUUUUUAUUUGAAAAAGUAAGCCUUAAAAUGGAUUAGGGAUAUCAUAGGCAUCCAUGUUUACAUCAGCUCUUAGCAAAUUGGAGAUUACAUCUUGCUGCUGCAAAAGACUAAAUAAGUACAUUUUAUUGUUGAACAAUAACAGUUACUGUUUUGCCAUGGAUCAACACAGAACAUCUUACUUCUAGUGAUGUGCCAUCACUCACUGAGGAAGUGAGAUCUCUUAUGACGUCCUGCUUCAAGAAAUUCAUAGAAGGUAAUCUUCUACCCACCCACCAAAUGGUUUAGAAAAUACCUUGGAUGCAUCAUGUAUAUGAUGGCAAGAAUCUCCAUCAAUAUCUAACAAAUGAGGAGCCUUCUCAUUACAAAGUCUCACCUCUAAUCCAGACUUUGAUCCUCUCAUUAUAUUGCAAGAAUCGAUCAAAACAGACGUGGGAUUCUCAAAUGGCAGCUGAUUUUUUUUCAAAAAGAGACACAAUUUUUUGAAAUAGUUGUUCGGCAGGCAUAUUAAAAACAUUAACAGAUAUUAAAUGCUUGACCACUACUUUAUUGUGUUCUGUAAAAAAGUAGUUGGCUAAUAUGCACAAAACUCUCAUUCGAUUACUACUUGUAGUUUAAUUAAUAUUUAAUAAAAAUUUAAACUUUUUAAAAUUCUUCACAGUUUCAUUAAAAAAUGUUUUUGAGAGGCCUAAUCUCAUUUUAUAUGAAGCAGUAGUGCGAGCCAUUGAGAGCUGUGAUAGUGCCUUCUUAUCAGAUGCCAUUGCUUUGGCCAAAUCAAUUAUCACAGGUGCUACAGUAUAAGGCAAAUUAUUUUCAGCCAUAGCUCCAAGCAGUUGACCCUCUAAGCUGGAAACUCGAUCACAAAUUGGAAUACUUGGAGCUUCUAAUUUUUCUCUCCUGCAUGCUUACGUUUGUGUCUGUCAAAGAUGAAUAUGAUGAUGGCAUCCUGUAAUUAUCUCUUUUCACUACUUCCCUCCAUAAUGUUUUUUGCUUUUGAUAUGGCUGCUAAUAGCAACAUAUCCCCUUUUUCCAUAAUAUAUUAGAUCAGAACACAAUGCACACUUCACUUUUCCACUGAUAUCCACUUUCUGAAUGCAACUGCCAACGACCAUUUCCAUUUCUUGUCCAUUCGCAUGAACUUGUACGAUGUUUUUCAGCCAUGCAAAUCUGAACGUAUUUUUUCUUUACUAUUUACAUGCCGAGCUUUGUGCUCAUGAUUCGGAUUUAAGAUAUUCAUAACAAAAAACUUACAGCAACAAACAAAAAAGAAAUAACAUAGCGAUCUACGCUCCAAAUUACAGUAUGCCACUUUACACACACUAAAACUCGCACAUGCUCUGGAUAACAUCAGUAGGGUAUCUGUAUGUCUGUCAGAUAGCGCCAGCCCCGAUCGCUGAAAUUAUUGAAGUCAGCUCUCGUUUGAUGGUUGCUUGAUCUUCUUUGAUUCGAUGUUCAUACACAUCUAGUUCUGCCUUUCCACAUAAGCCCCACCUACUUCACCUUGAUGUGAAACAACGCAUUUCGCGAUCUCUGGCAUGAUGUAAAGUUUUUUUUUUUUUUACAAAGAAAAGAAAAAGAGAGUAUGUCCUUUGUUUACCCACCACCACCACCACACACACACACACAUUUGCCAGUCGCGAUUUCUCAACGGUCUGCAUUGAUCUCAGAAACAGCCCGGGUGACGUUCAAAAAAGCGGAAUUCCGCGAAAAUGCAGAAAACCUUCAUGCCUGUAUAAUCUUGCAGUUAAGAAAAAAUAAGAAGGUCUGUUACAGUUAAUAUUGUUAAGCUAUUCUCACUCACUCUCUUCUUCUUCUUUUUUAAUCUGAACUACUAAAAUAUGUGUUGAAUUUAUUUUGUAUUAUAAUUUGAUAGAGCUAAUUCUUUUCAUUGACAGAUGAUAAAGUACUCAUUAAGUAAUUGCAGAUGUUCUAAAUUAAAUUUAAUUUUAAAUAUAUACUGUGUAAAGUAUUUAUUUAAAUCAUGAUUUAUACAAGAUGUUAAAUAUUAGAGCUUUAACAGGUCAGUAUUGUAUGGUCAAUUAAGUUAAACUAGCUGGUGUAAGAGUUUAUUUUAUUUAUGUAUGAUUGUAUUUACAUUAUUUAUAAAUUUUUCUACCCCCUUCGCAAUUUUGUAUAUUUUAAGUGAAUUAUCUUCCAGAAUGCAUGCACUAGUCAUUUCUCAUUAGUGUGAUAAUAUUAGUUCAAAGUAUUUUUAAUUUCUGUGCUGUGAUUUGUUAAUACGUAAAUAUGCUAAUGUUUCAUAAUUUUAUUUUUUUUAUCACUGCACUUAGUUUUUGGGUGCAAUUUUUAAUAGUAUUUAUUUUACUUAAGUUGUGAUAUUUAUACUGUAUUUUAUUUUAGUCCAAUUAUUACAUCAAACUUUUUCUGUAGUGUUAAAUAUAUGUUAUGCAUUUAGUCAUUAGCAUAAGAAGAUUGUUAAAAUUACAGUGAACCCUUUCAUUUUGAUGGCUUUUUUGUAAACAAACAUCUAUGAAAAUGACAAAUAUUUCUGAGAACAUAAACACUGGAAUGGUGGUUGUAAUAAUUUUCUAUAAAACAACCUCUCUCUAACUCAACCAGAUCUGUCAAAAACAUUCAUUUAGAUAGUGGUCUGAAAUAUAAGUAUUGUACAAGAAAUCUAUCUCAAAAAAUAAAAACUUUUACAAUACAAACUCCGAAAUCCGAAUGUCUAAUAUCUGGAAUAAUCUAAAAUCCGGACCUCAAAGCCACCAGCAAUCUCUCUCUCUCUCUCUCUCUCUCUCUCUUUUUUUUUUUUUUGAGGGGGGUAUGCUUCACAUAUGCACAUUUGAUUCCCCCCCUAAAAAUAAAGCAUGCGGAGAGUUCUGAUUCUUAAUUUUGUUUUGGCAUUAAAUAAAAUACCUUCUUGCUGAAGAAACAAUCAUUUUAGCAUAAAUUUGUGUGAUCCGUAAUUUGACUCUGUAGCUGUGUAUCUGCUGGCAUGCAUCUCAGACAAAACAUUCUACAUAAAAACAUUGUUGAUUUUAAACCAACUAUUAUUUUAUAUACCAACUUGCCUGACACCACAGUAUGUAACCUUCUAUGUUAACAAUACCCUUGGUGAUGAUUGCAGAUUUAAGUUAAAUGUGCUAAAAGCUGUUGACGAGAAAUUUUAACAAAAAUUUCUUUCCCUAAGUUAAAAAUAGAUUUUGUUAAUGAGACUCAUAGGAUAAAAGAUUACAGUUAGUGUUAUUUGAAUUAAGAAUAAUUGAUUGUUAUUUACAAAAACUCAGAACUGGCGCCAGAGCUUGUAUAGCCACAUCGAAUGGCAGAAUUUAGACAACAAAAUUUUUAGAGCAACCCCAAGCAGAAGACAAAAUUUUUGGAAUUUAGAGAAGCACCAAGCAGUAAAAUUGUGGGUUGACAAAAUUUUUAGAAUUUAAGGAAAGCAUUGAGACCCAGAAAUUAGAUGCGGCAAAAUUUUAGAACUUAGGGAGGCACUUGGUAGCGGAAUUUAGGACCUCUAGAGACUGCAUUGGGAUAUCUAGCUCCAGCCCUCAAUAAGCCUUAGGUUUAUGUGGGAAUUUAUUUAUUCAGGACUUGGGUAAGCCUUGAGCACAUACAAAAAAUAGACAUAAGUAUAGAAAAUAACUAAAAUAAUACAAUUCAGUCUUAAUUGUCUCAGUACGUGAUAGAAGAAAGACAAAAUUUAGUGGAAUAAAGUGUCUUUCUUUGCCAAUCUCAUGAUAGCUGAUACUGAAACUGCUGAACUAUUUGCAGAUGAAUUUAUUGAACUCGCUAAUUGUGGAAAGUUUUCUCCAGAGCAAAUUUACAGCACUGAUGAAACUGGUCUUUUCUGGCAAUAUGUGCAGAGAAAUACCUUGGCAACCUCUACAAAAAAGUCUCCAACUGGUGUCAAAGAUUCCAAAGCAAGAAUAACAAUUUUGGCAUUCACAAAUGUUGCAGGAACACAUAAGUGUAAACCUUUCGUAAUCAUAAAUAAUACACAACUUCAAUCAUUUAAAAUAGUAAAGAUUUUCCCGUUAUAUAUCAUGCAAGUAAAACAGCAUGGAUGACUCAAUCAUUAAUGAACGAUUGGAUUGAAAAACAUUUCAUACCCGAAGCCCGGCGACAUUUGAAUGCAGUUGGUUUACCUGAUGAUGCAAAAAUUGACCUGAUUGUAGUCAACUGUACUCCUACCUCACUUAAAGUUUUAGUAAAAGAUAAUGUAUGUGUACUAUUUUUUCCUCCAAACCGUACGUCCAUCAUUCAGCCUAUAGAUAUCGGAAUAGUGUGCAGACUAAAAUGCAAAGUUUAUGUUAAAUAGCCUAUAGAUAUCGGAAUAGUGUGCAGACUAAAAUGCAAAUGUAAAGUGUAUGUUAAAUUUCUUGAAUAAUGGAAAGACUCUUCAAGAAUUUUUGAAAUAUUUUAGCAUAAUAUCUAUGUGGAGCAUCAAAAAACGAUGUGUUUUGAGAUACUUUAAAAAAAAAUGCUUUACAUAAUUUAUGGCCAGCUAACUAAUAAUUUAAGUCAUCAUAUGGUGAGGAUGAUGAAAGUGAUUUAAGUUGAUGAAAGUUUGAAGGUUAUGGGAUAUCGCAAACCAAAGGUGAAAUUUUCCCAUUAAUGGAUUUUGUAAAGAAAAGUAGCAAAGUGGUAAUAAAUGAAGAUGAUAUAAUAGAAGUUUUUCAUUGUGAUGACAAUGCCCCGGCCAUCAAAUGGCACAAUCUGUAGCAUGGUUCAAGAUCCCAAAAAUACCGUUACCAAUAGUGAAGAAAGUCACAGAGAGGUUAUUGAGAACGAAAAUAUUUCAAUUCGCAAGUUAAGUCGGUAUUCUCGACUCAGCAAUUAUAGGACUUAAACAAUGGAACUUUGUAACUGAACAAG